AGUCAAGACCAGUCCAUUCAAGACAUUGACGUUGGGUUUUGGGAUUAACAUCACGGUACGAAGACGAAGAUUUGGAGGGGAGAAAAAUGGUUUGGUCAACUUCCGGAAUCAGAAAGUCAAGCCACAUCUGUUAAUCACUGUGACCAGUAGAAAGGACCAUAGCGCCCGCGGAACUGUAGGAGCUAGUGUAGAUUGGAAAUCUUUUGCUAAAGACUCGUUUUCAAGAUAUAUGAAUAUAUGUUUUGCUUUUGGCUGCAUCCAUGGACCCUUAUGUAUAAUAUUUUAGGCUUGUGAUCUUCGUGUUUUAUAUAUAUGAAAUAAAAUAUGUUUGAUAUUCGUGACA